GACGAACGCUGGCGGCGUGCUUAACACAUGCAAGUCGAACGGAAAGGCCCUGCUUUUGUGGGGUGCUCGAGUGGCGAACGGGUGAGUAACUCGUGAGUAACCUGCCCUUGACUUUGGGAUAACUUCAGGAAACUGGGGCUAAUACCGGAUAGGAGCUCCUGCUGCAUGGUGGGGGUUGGAAAGUUUCGGCGGUUGGGGAUGGACUCGCGGCUUAUCAGCUUGUUGGUGGGGUAGUGGCUUACCAAGGCUUUGACGGGUAGCCGGCCUGAGAGGGUGACCGGCCACAUUGGGACUGAGAUACGGCCCAGACUCCUACGGGAGGCAGCAGUGGGGAAUAUUGCACAAUGGGCGGAAGCCUGAUGCAGCAACGCCGCGUGCGGGAUGACGGCCUUCGGGUUGUAAACCGCUUUCGCCUGUGACGAAGCGUGAGUGACGGUAAUGGGUAAAGAAGCACCGGCUAACUACGU
rnacentral:rRNA from 1 species